rnacentral:rRNA from 1 species
GAUAAACGCUGGCGGCGCACAUAAGACAUGCAAGUCGAACGGACUUAACUCAUUCUUUUAGAUUGAGAGCGGUUAGUGGCGGACUGGUGAGUAACACGUAAGCAACCUGCCUAUUAGAGGGGAAUAACAGUGAGAAAUCAUUGCUAAUACCGCAUAUGCUAACAGUAUCGCAUGAUACAGUUAGGAAAGGAGCAAUCCGCUAAUAGAUGGGCUUGCGUCUGAUUAGCUAGCUGGUGAGGUAGAGGCUCACCAGGGCGACGAUGCGUAGCCGGCCUGAGAGGGUGGACGGCCACACUGGGACUGAGAUACGGCCCAG